UGUAAAAUGGACCAAUCAGCAGGAUGUGGGUGGGGCCAAAUAAGGGGAUAAAAAGCAGGCCAUGCGAGCCACCUGUGGCAACCCACUUGGGUUCCCUGCGAUGUUGUGGAAGGGUUGUUGUUUUGCUGUUUCCAGUAAAUGUUGGUGUUGCUCAGUUUUUGGGUCCACACUGUGUUUAUGAGCUGUAACACGCACUGCAAAGGUCUGCAGCUUCACUCCUGAGGUCAGCGAGACCAUGAACUCACCAACCUGCUGGGAGGGAUGAACAACUCCGGACGCGCCACGUUUAUGAACUGUAACACCACGAAGGUCUGCAGCUUCGCUCCUGAGGCCAGCACGACCAUGAACCCAUUAGAAGGAAUGAACAACUCCAGACGCGCUGCCCUUAGGAGCCGUAACACUCACUGUGAAGCUUUCACAGGAUCACUCUGGCUGCUGUGUUGAUCCUGGACUGUCAGGGUACAAAGGUAGAGGAGACAUUGCGGUGAUCCCAGGGCCCUGGAGAGAGGAGUGGCAGUGGAACUGAUGAGAGGUGCUCAGAUGCUGGAGAGAACUAGAGUGACUUGCCCAAGGUCACACAGCUAGUCAGCAGGAGAGCCAGGGAAAACCCCAGCUGACAUCUUUUCUUCUGGAGACAGUACAAGAUGACGUCUUUGGAGGGCUCUUCAAAUAAAGUAUGAUGCAAAUAAAAAGAUUUUGCCUUUUGGAAACUUCUUCCGAAACCCCUUAUGGUAUUUCAUCAAUCACAAAAAUGGGAAUUGAGUCACCUGCCCGAGCCCUGUAACCAGGACAGUUGUAGCACACGCUGAACGAUGGCCCUGACAGAUGUGACUGAGUCUCCCUCGCCUUCUGUUUUGUUUGUGUGUCCAGAACUCCUAUUUGUGAGAAAAUUGUAUUCCCUGCGCUUGAGUCCUGGUCUUCUGAGCUGACAUAAGGAACUGUAAGCAGUGGGGGCUGCCAUGCAGCAGGGCUCCAUCUGCCCCAAGUCUCUGUGACUGCUGCUCGCUGCACAGAGGCCCUGGGUGAUCAGAGGCUGCACCGGUGAACCUGUGCAGCCCCGCGCAUCCCGACAGGCCACACGUAAUUUCUGCCUCUCAGUGAAAUCUACCUGCAAGAUUUGCUCUUAUUUUCUCUGCAGCAAACAACAGGAUGAACUUUAUUUUCUCAUUGAAAACAAGGUGCCGGGAAGUGAUUGCGCACCCGUCGGAGAUGCACAGAGCCUUGGGCUUCAGACUCUCCCCUGAAGCCCCGAAAAGCCACCCUCAUUGACCACAUGUACUGAGUGCCCAUCCGAGCAGGACUGCAGGAGCGGCUGGACUGUCCAUGACCCCUAACAACCCACAUGUCCAGAGAUGGCGUUUCUGUCUUCUUGGGAGGGAGGCCUGUUGAGCUGCAUCUGCACCUCAUGAUGCCCGGAGUGGCACGUGGAGCUGCACCUGCACACUUGGCUUCUGGUUGCCGGGGUGCCCAGGGAGUUCACCAUCGGAUAGCAGCCCGCUGCCUGCCUCUCUCUGCCCUCCUGUGGGACACUCCUCGGCUCCCAUGACCUCUCGGAGCCCACAUUUGCCCUCCUGCUCACCUCACCAGGCCCUGGAAGUUGCAGGCUGCAGGUGGGCAAGGGAGGCUGCCACCACUGCUUGGGAUCCGGUCUCCUGGUGGCUGCCUGCAGAGACCGCCCAGAUAAGGGGACGAGGAGUUGGUGUCCUGUGAGACAAACUUCAGUCAAUGGCAGACAAGAGUCAGUGGAUGAAGUCUGCCUUCCUUCGUGGACUGUUUUAUGAUACUGUUUAUAGUUUAGUCAGCCUCUCCGGAGACAUCCUGUAAGGCAGAAAAAUCACGGUUUUGUGAGGAGCUCAGCAAUGCACUUGUGUUUGCUCUCCCUCCUUCCCUCCUUGCUCCUUCCUUCCUUCCCUGCUUCCUCCUUCCCCUUUCUUCCUUUUCUGCUUCCUC
rnacentral:lncRNA from 1 species